rnacentral:lncRNA from 1 species
CCGACCCUGUCUCCAGUGGGCGUCUUGGGCCCCGGCUCUAUUCUGGGCUGCGGGCCUGGGAAGGGCUCGCCGGGUGCCAAAUGAGCUGUCCUAACUCUGCGGGGCUGCAGCUUCCUGCAUGAUGCUGGGGAGCUUGGCGCCUGACCCAGGAUCUAGAAGGCACUCUGGGCAGGCCGCGCUCCGCCCACGAAGGUACCCAACCCUCUGGGAUAGAUGCAGGAAGCGAUGGUUAAGACCCAUUUUCACCCAACUUCUCGCCGCAGGUCUGGCUUACCACACGCUCCUCCCCAUUCCCAGUGAGCCGCUUUUUGCAGCACCAGGCGAACACUUACACCAGUGCUUUGUAAAGGAAUCUUAUUGUCCACCCCGUGUCUUGGCAAAAGAACAGUGAUCACACAGAUUCCUACUUGGGCUCUUUCCUUUAAUCUUCGGAGGCUGAGUUUGCCCAACUCAGGUUUUUUUCUCAGUCAACUGAAUUCUUUUUCUCCACUUUGUUUUGCCACUCUUAAUGCAUGCAUGAGAGGCCCUAAGAUAAUUUCUGAUGGCCUGGGACUCCUUGGGAAAAAAAUGAAAAGGCACCACAGGUUCCAUUUUGGGAGAAACCUCCAUUUUCCUCAUGAAACCGCAGGAAUUAGAGGCAGAUAAACUGCCAGGGAGAAGAAUGAGAAGACAGGAGACAAACUGUUUGGAAAGCUAAAUCUUCCCUCUUAAUGAAUAAAGGUUUUUGCCUUGUCUUAAAGUUUCUGAGUCCUAAUUUUGGCAAAAUAAAUAACUUAUGGUAAUCUGGAAUUGUAUUUUGUAAUAUUAAGUGUUUUGAACCUCUAACAUUUACUUCCCAAAAUCAAACUUCAGUUUCAAAAUUGUCUCUCUUGACCCCUAGCUUUUGGAUGCUACAGAAGGCCCCUGAAGCAUCCAGAAGAGAGGUAAACAGGAUUAUUUAACAUGUUUA